rnacentral:lncRNA from 1 species
CUUCAUUUUUUCUGCAUUUUUAGUUUCGUUAUUUGCUUAAUUCAAUUUAUAACAGUCUUUUAAAAAGCUUGCUAUUUUGAAACAGAGCAGAGAACAUCCUUUAACAUUUUACAUAAUUUACUCUGACUUUGGUAAUCAUAGAUAAGGAUGUGACUUAGAUGGAGAAUUGUCUCCUAGGCACUCAUACAGGCGCGAAUCCAGGGGUGGUGG